UAGGCAAAUGGAAGGUUUUGGUUCAAUUUAUUGGUUUUAUAGGAGAUAAUGGUUAACAGAGCAAAGGGGGCAUUUGUAUGGCAACGUGAGAGGUAAAAUUUUGGACGGCCAGACAAAUACAAAAAUGAA
rnacentral:rRNA from 1 species